UCAGCACUAAGCCAUUUUGUCUUUAUGGCAAAUAUGGGAUGCAGUGUAUGGAACAUCUAUAAUCUAGUAUGAGAAAUUAAUGAUUUAAGUCCUUCUUAAAUGAGGCCAUUUACCCAUAGAGGGUGCCAGGCCCGUAUAACGUUAAUGAUUACUAGAAGAUGCUUCCAAAGAGUCGUGUUGCUUGAUAGUGCAGCACUAAGUGGGUGGUAAACUCCAUCUAAAACUAAAUAUAACCAUGAGACCGAUAGUAAACAAGUACCGUGAGGGAAAGUUGAAAAGAACUCUGAAUAGAGAGUUAAAUAGUACGUGAAACUGCUUAGAGGUUAAACCCGAUGAACCUGAAUAUCCGUUAUGGAAAAUUCAUCAUUAAUGAUAUAGUGUGCAAUUUUUCCAUAUAAGGACAUUGUAAUCUGUUAAUGUAAUAAAUAUUUAUUAAAAGAUCUAUUACUUAAGUUUAUUCAAAUUUAACAUAGAAUAAUUGUUUUAGAUUUAAUAAAUCAUUGACAGAUUUAAUUAUAUAAGGUGCUUAAAUUUCUUUAAAUUUUACAAUGUUGUAUGCGCUUUUAUGAUUAACAAUGCGAUAGAUUCAGGAUACCUUCGGGACCCGUCUUGAAACACGGACCAAGGAGUCUAACAUAUGUGCAAGUCAUUGGGUAUUUUAAAUGAAACCUAUUGGCAUAAUUAACUUAACUGUUGGGAUUAGUUUAUAUGAAUUCAAUCCCGGGGCGUUCUAUAUAGUUAUACAUAAUAAUAUUUAUAUUAUUUAUGCCUCUAACUAGAGCGUACCUUGAGCAUAUAUGCUGUGACCCGAAAGAUGGUGAACUAUACUUGAUCAGGUUGAAGUCAGGGGAAACCCUGAUGGAAGACCGAAACAGUUCUGACGUGCAAAUCGAUUGUCAGAAUUGAGUAUAGGGGCGAAAGACUAAUCGAACCAU
rnacentral:rRNA from 1 species